GACGAAGGGCGCAGGCGUUAUUCGUGUUGAUUGGGUGUAAAGGGUGCGUAGGCUAGGCUGAAAAUUUUUCUGUAAAAAUGCGGAGUAUUCCUACGCACGAACCGAUAAAUAAUUCAGCUAGAGUUAGGAAAAAGUUGUGGCAAUUCUUCAUGAAAGAGUAAGAUCUCGUGAUAUGAGGAGGAACACUAUAAGGCGAAAGCGCUUUUCUGUUUCUAACUGACGCUGAGGCACGGAAGCCUGGGUAGCAAACAGG
rnacentral:rRNA from 1 species